GCAGCCGCGGUAAUACGGGGGAUGCGAGCGUUAUCCGGAUUUAUUGGGUUUAAAGGGUGCGUAGGCGGCCUGUUAAGUCAGCGGUGAAAUUCAGGGGCUCAACCUCUGCCGUGCCGUUGAUACUGGCAAGCUGGAAUGCGGAUGCCGUGGGAGGAAUGUGUGGUGUAGCGGUGAAAUGCAUAGAUAUCACACAGAACACCGAUUGCGAAGGCAUCUCACGAAUCCGCAAUUGACGCUGAUGCACGAAAGCGUGGGGAUCAAACAGGAUUAGAUACCCC
rnacentral:rRNA from 1 species